AUUGAACGCUGGCGGCAGGCCUAACCCAUGCAAGUCGAACGAGUGGCGGACGGGUGAGUAAUGUCUGGGAAACUGCAUGAAGGAGGGGGAUAACUACUGGAAACGGUAGCUAAUACCGCAUACCAUCGGAUGUUCCCAGAUGGGAUUAGCGAGUAGGUGGGGUAACGGCUCACCUAGGCGACGAUCCCUAGCUUGUCUGAGAGGAUGACCAGCCACACUGUAACUGAUACACGGUCCAGACUCCUACGGGAGGCAGCAGUGGGGAAUAUUGCACAAUGGGCGAAAGCCUGAUGCAGCCAUGCCGCGUGUGUGAAGAAGGCCUUCGGGUUGUAAAGCACUUUCAGCGGGGAGGCGUUACCUGCAGAAGAAGCAACGGCUAACUCCGUGCCAGCAGCCGCGGUAAUAC
rnacentral:rRNA from 1 species